AUGUUAGCAAAGCAUUAACCUUUACGGUCGAUUAUAUGGGGUGUCCGGUUCUCCGGACUGGAGCGGGGCCUGUCCGCUCUGUUUCUCUCCCUCCCUGUUGACCUAUAAGAGCCGUGCCAGAAGCGGCUCUUUUUUU
rnacentral:sRNA from 1 species